rnacentral:lncRNA from 1 species
CUUAGCCAAGGCGUUUAAACAAGAAGCCACGCUCCUCGCAAGUCUCCAGAAGGAGCUAGCAAAAAACACCGAUGCAUCUGGCAAACUUCUAGCAGGAGCGGUCGCCCUACGUAGAAACGCUUGGUUGAGGGCUGCUACACUGUCCCCAUCCGCUCGUUCCCUCAUCGAGGAUCUUCCCAUGGACGAGGCCGGGUUAUUUAACCCUGAAACUGACUCACAAUUGGAACAUUCCCACAAAAUGAAGCAGACCAUUAAUAAAUAUGGUCAACAUCCUCACCAACCUUAUUCUUACCAUCAGCGUUGGGGAUAUCAAUCCCAAUACUACCGGGGACGUUACAGCCCCUCAUUUUCUCGGGGAAGGCAGCGCCAGCAGCCCACCUUCACAGGGAACCGUAAGCCGUCUUUCCCUUCCAGAGGUCAAUACAAGGGGCCCAAGCCAGCGGACAAUAGGAGACGGCGCUUUUAGCCCAAUAUCUCCAUUGCCCACGUCGUUGUUUCCAGUUCAUUCCGAAGCCCUGUUGGCUUCUAGUUCCCUAGUUGUUCAACACCCCUCCCCUCCAGAAGUUCCCCGUUUAUACCUUAACAGGCUCGUUCCAUAUUUGGAUGAGUGGCAGCGAAUCACAUCGGAUUCAUGGGUUUUGAGUAUUGUGGAGGAAGGUUACUCUAUUGAGUUUCUUUCCCUUCCACCAGUGGGACACGUUUGUGCCACCUCUCCUUCAGAUGUACUCCUCGAGGAAAUAUCUGUCCUGAUUGACAAAGGAGCCAUCUCUUCUAUCCCGCCCAACAAGAUCCACCUUGCCUAUUUUUCUCGUUAUUUCCUGGUUACCAAACGAGGAGGGGGUCUCCGCCCAAUACUGGACCUGCGCGGUAUUAACCGUUUCAUCAAACCGCGCAAGUUUCGGAUGGUGUCGCUUCCCACAAUUCUCCCUUUCAUUAGGAAAGGAGCCUGGUUAGCCUCGGUGGACCUCAAAGAUGCUUAUUUCCACAUCUCUGUUAAAGAGGACCACCGUAGAUUCCUUAGUUUUGCAGUAGAUGACCGUUUCUUCUCCUACAAUGUUUUGCCCUUCGGCCUCUCCACAGCCUCAAGGGUUUUCACUAAAUGCAUGUCAGUAGUAGCAGCAUACUUACGUCAACACCGUGUAAUGGCAUUUCCAUAUUUAGACGAUUGGCUUUUAUCAUCAAAUUCUAGAGACCAACUAAAAUCUGACAUUCGUUUCACCCUAUCUCUCUUACAGACUCUAGGCCUCAUUGUCAACCAAGAAAAAUCCCACCUCUUACCCACCCAACGCAUCAGUUUUAUCGGUGCCAUUAUAGAUU